rnacentral:lncRNA from 1 species
AAAUAAAUCUGCAAAGUCAUCCCUCCUUCUGACAGGGGUCGGGAUAUUCGUACUUGCCUUAAACAUUGACUGGGACUGAGCAUGCUGCCAUUGGAAGAGAAUCAGCCCUCACGGAAGAAGAGUCGCAUCUUAAAAUACCCUGCCCUUAAUGAACUUGUGAACUACAUGAGAAAACUAACAGGUGGAUCAAGAGCAAGCAACACAGGACUACACAAUGUGGUGGUAAGUUAGUUACUACAGGCAAUAUAUUCUGAGGGAGUUCAGAGCUGAUGCAGAUUAGGGAAGACAGGCAUGGAAGAAAAGCUUCAGAAAGGUGGGGUCCUAGGUGGCCCCACUGUUUUAGUCUUCAUUUCUU